rnacentral:lncRNA from 1 species
UGCUGCUAACGGCAUGAUAUGGUCUUUCCCCUAUUUUGUAAAGUCAGAACCAUCUGUUCAGCGCCUCUAUAGUAGUAAAUGUUUUUCUCUUUGUAUCAACUAGUGAUAUGCUGUUUGUUGUUAGUUUAUGUACUAGGGAUGAUGACCUUUGCACAAAUUCUCACCUCCUAUUAUGUAUUCAAAGUAACAAAAAAGUAGAGGGAGAGAGAUUUUUUUAAAGCUAGAGACUUGAUGCUUGUAGACCAUGCUCUUCUUUCUAGCUGGAAAAAUUGAUAGAGUGCUCUGCUUUUACUUCAUGCUGAGUAGGUUGGGCACAGCUUCAGCAUAUUUAUCACUUUUUGAAGUUGAAUGAGUUGUGUUGGAGUGGAAUCGAUGUUUGCAUUCUCACUGCAGUUGCCUGUGUUACUCACUUCAAUGCUCUCUAUCUCUCCUCGGAGCUAUGGUUGGACUGUUGAAUGUAUAAUUACGUCAUAUUGAACUUUCCAUAUGUGGAUCUGUACUUGUAUAUAUAUUUAUUUGUUUGCUACAAAAUUCUAUGGGGGAAUCACUAUGCAAUCACCAUUUAAUUUCCUAAUUGAAUCUGCAUGCUUAUGUUUGGUCUUUGAUAAAUUUAUGAAGUGUUGUAUGGCAAUAAAUUGUGUUUUCUCAUGUUUCCAAAAGAUUGUG